UGCGAGCUAUAACCUAGUGGAG
rnacentral:miRNA from 1 species